UACGAAGGGGGCUAGCGUUGCUCGGAAUCACUGGGCGUAAAGCGCACGUAGGCGGGUCGUUAAGUCAGGGGUGAAAUCCUGGAGCUCAACUCCAGAACUGCCCUUGAUACUGGCGAUCUCGAGUUCGGGAGAGGUGAGUGGAACUGCGAGUGUAGAGGUGAAAUUCGUAGAUAUUCGCAAGAACACCAGUGGCGAAGGCGGCUCACUGGCCCGAUACUGACGCUGAGGUGCGAAAGCGUGGGAGCAA
rnacentral:rRNA from 1 species